rnacentral:tRNA from 1 species
ACCUGGGUGGCUCAGUUGGUUAGGCAUCUGACUUCAGCUCAGGUCAUGAUCUCAUGGUCCGUGGGUUCAAGCCCCACAUUAGGCU